AUAAGUACGUCCCCUGGAGAUUUUAUAUUACACCUCAUCUUUAAUUCACGUAUCCUCCUACACACUAAAGAAUGGUAUAAAUAUUUCCCGCACUGUCAGACCGUGGACAUUUGGCUCAGCUGCGUGAACAAUACUCCAAACAACGAACCUUCGAACUGAGACACUGAACCUGUAACUCUCAGCCGCCUUAGUCCUGCUCGCCUCGCCACUGCCGCGUGGUUACGUCAAGACAGCGGGCGGCCGCGUACUAGUUUCCUUAGUACUUGUGCGUACGUGUCAAUACCGUGUGCUGUAAACUGCUGAACGAACUGAGAUACUCAUUCAGUUUUGGUCGCCUCUCCAUUAUCUCGUGGUGACGUAAAGGUGACGGCCCGUGUGUUAGUUUUCCCGGUAAUUGUGCCUCCGUAACAUUACUGUGUGCAGUGGUCGUGAGAACUGCGAGGCGGCGGUGCAGACUGUGCCGUGGAGAGCCGCGGGGUGUUGGAAUCGCCUCUCAGUCACCUUGAAGGCGUCAUAUUCCCUCCCUGCUCUUCCCCGUGUCUUCCUGUCGAUGUUGAGGGCGUGGGGGCGGGGCGGCCACAGUGCGCCCCUUCAUUGUGUUUAGACAGGAGGAGAGCGGCAUGGCAGCAAGACAGUGUCAUUGGGAAGUGUUAUCGUUUGUAUAGGUAGACACGUCGAUCUGUACCUCAAGCCUCAUCUCACGUCAUGGAGUGUGUGUGUCCGUCUGCGUGAGUAAAGGUGGACGUGGUGAUUGCGCCUCAAGCUUCACCACUUGUCAUGUACUCUGCCUGCCUCUUGAUGCACCUGUGUAAAGGUUGUUGUGUCGUUGUUUAGUUUGUGAUGUAAUACAUCCUGCCUCUUUAUUCACCUAUGUAAAGGUUGUUGUAUCGACCAAUGACUUAACUUUAUUGUUUGUGAUGUAUUCUACCUGUCUCUUUAUUCACCUGUGUAAAGGUUGUUGUAUCGACCAAUGACUUUACUUUAUUGUUUGUGAUGUAUUCUACCUGUCUCUUUAUUCACCUGUGUAAAGGUUGUUGUGCCGUUGUAUUGUUUGUGAUGUAUUCUACCUGUCUCUUUAUUCACCUGUGUAAAGGUUGUUGUAUCGACCAAUGACUUAACUUUAUUGUUUGUGAUGUAUUCUACCUGUCUCUUUAUUCACCUGUGUAAAGGUUGUUGUGCCGUUGUAUUGUUUGUGAUGUAUUCUACCUGUCUCUUUAUUCACCUGUGUAAAGGUUGUUGUGUCGUUGUAUUGUUUGUGAUGUAUUCUACCUGUCUCUUUAUUCACCUGUGUAAAGAUUGUUGUAUCGACCAAUGACUUAACUUUAUUGUUUGUGAUGUAUUCUACCUGUCUCUUUAUUCACCUGUGUAAAGGUUGUUGCAUCGACCAAUGACUUAACUUUAUUGUUUGUCAUGUAUUCUACCUGUCUCUUUAUUCACCUGUGUAAAGGUUGACGGGUUGAUCUAUGUACACCUCAUAGUUCACCCCUCAUGUGCUCUUUUUGUCUACAUGAUUCACUGCAGUAAAUAAGAUAAUAAAAUAUGGGAAGCUGUAAGAAGCCAUCAGGCCUAGACGUGACGGUCUGUGUUCAAAACAUACUUAUUUCCAACUCUCAUCACCAUCCAUACCUUUGUCUAGUUGCCAUUACGGAGAAAAAGAUAGUUAUGCAGUUAAUUUGUAGUUAGUAAGAUUGCGUGUUAUCUUGGUCCUGCCGGGGCUUCUGUCAUCAGCGAAGAGUUAGUAAGUUGCGUGCACUUCUUAGUUCUGGUGAAGAAAAGACGCGAUAUAUGAAGUAAAAAGUUUCAUACUGUCAUUACCAAGGAGUUAGUAAGGCUGUGAACAUAUCUUUGUCCUGGUAAGGCUUGAAGGAAACGCGACAAGUGAAGUAAAGAAUGUCGUACUUAUGACCAAGGAGUCAUUAAAGCUGCAUGGACGUCUUGGUUAAGAAGAAGGCGUAAUGGAAACACGCGACAAAAGGAGACUGUUUAUUGACAUGAAGUGGAGGCGGGCGGCACACACCUGCGGGCGGCACACACCUGCGUGCGUAACACACCCGCGGGCGACCUCCAGUCCUCGCCACCAAUCGUCUGGCCGCCUCUAAAACAAAGCUCACCGUCGGGCCGAGGCGUUUCGAAAUACAAGUUUCUUAAGAGACGAGCCUAUCGGGAAAUACACAUACGUAAAUACUUUUUCCUCAGUAUUUUUUUUGUCCGUAAGCCUAAGAUUACAUAAAGUGUAUAAAAAUACACACACACACACACACACACACACACACACACACACACACACACACACACACACACACACACACACACACACACACACACACACACGGUGCAGGGACUCCAUAAUCUUAUAAAUAAUACAAAUCUUAUCUCAUUAUUAAUGAUCAUUUUUCAUGAGUUUCCUUCUGUCUGUGUGUCUGUAUGUCUCUUUUGUCUGUCUUUUUCUUCCUUUGUGUCACUAACUCACUACCUCAGAUUAUUUUCUCCAAUUUCUGAUAAACGAUUUUAAAAAUUUUCCUUUCCGUCUUUUGCAAACUUAACUGUAAAUGUUGAAAAGAAAUGUCGCUAUGGAAAUAACGAGUCACUUAUCACACACACACACACACACACACACACACACACACACACACACACACACACACACACACACACACACACACACGCCUCCGUUUCUAGAUAACAGUGGAGGCGGAAACAUGUAUCCGACACGUGCCACAGGUGUUGUAUUGUUAUUACCCUUUGUAAGUCACGCCAAGUCACCUUCUCACGUCUUCACUUCCUCCCCAGCCAUGCAACACGCAACACACCCUUCGUUCCCCUCCCACAACAACACUGGCCUCCGCACUAAGAAACACUCAUCAUCCAGCGCCAAGGUGUUUUUUUUUUUUUUUACAUUGAGACAUUUUCAGAGUAAUAUUUUUUUUUUUUUUUUGUCAUGUCUUCCUCUCUUUUGCUUUAUUACUUUUCCUAGCAAUGAUUUUUUUUGUUCUUAAGAAAGACUUAAUUUUCCAGCUACAUUGUUUUUUCUCCCUCAUCUUAUUUUUUUUUUUUUUUGUAAGCAUCAUGUUUUCACUUCACUAUAAAGUUUUAUUUUUGUUACUUUAAAUUAUCUCUAUUAUUUUUGUCAUUUUUUGUGUAAUGUGGUGUAAAAUUUCUUUUUUUUCUGGAGUUUUCCUAAUUUUUUUGCUUCUUUUUCGCGAGUGAGGUAUUUUUUUCAUCACAACUUUUUUAUUUUUUUUUCUGAAGUAAUGCCUUUUUACAUAACAUUUUUUUUCUUCCAUUCCUAAACUAUGUUUUCCAAACAUGUUUUAAUGUUUUUUUUUUAUUUCCUUCUAUAAGCAACUUUUUUUUUUUUCGCUCUUACAAGAAGACGCUACCAGAUUGUAAAAGUAACACAUUGUUUUUAUCUUCCUUUCCUGAAAUCCCAGAGUAAUAAAAGUUGUCCUGUGCAAGUCACGCCACACACACUCAGCUCCUUAGGAUAACACUCUUACACUCUCCCAGUAGCACUUUGCGAUCACACAUUAUUUCACCGUUAUUUUACUCCUUGCCUCUUACUUAAUAUAUAUCGUUUUUCUCUUAUACAUCUUCUACAAGUCAACAUAUUUACUUUUAUGUUUAUUACACUUCACUUUGAUUUUUCACUUAAAUUAAUCUGAUGAAAUAUUCCCGAGUGUAUUUAUCU